rnacentral:rRNA from 1 species
CCUACGGGAGGCAGCAGUGAGGAAUAUUGGUCAAUGGGCGGAAGCCUGAACCAGCCAAGUAGCGUGCAGGAUGACGGCCCUACGGGUUGUAAACUGCUUUUAUACGGGAAUAACGCGCCUUACGUGUAGGGCUUUGCAUGUACCGUAUGAAUAAGGACAGGCUAAUUCCGUGCCAGCAGCCGCGGUAAUACGGAAGGUCCGGGCGUUAUCCGGAUUUAUUGGGUUUAAAGGGGGCGCAGGCGGUCUGUUAAUUCAGCGGUAAAAGGCCGGGGAUGAACCCCGGCCCGCCGUUGAAACUGGCAGUCUCGAGUUGGAGAGAAGUAUGCGGAAUGCGCGGUGUAGCGGUGAAAUGCAUAGAUAUCGCGCAGAACUCCGAUUGCGAAGGCAGCAUGCCGGCUCCACACUGACGCUGAGGCACGAAAGCGUGGGUAUCGAACAGGAUUAGAUACCCCUGUAGUC